UCAGGAUGAACGCUGGCGGCGUGCUUAACACAUGCAAGUCGAACGAUGAACCUCACUUGUGGGGGGAUUAGUGGCGAACGGGUGAGUAACACGUGAGUAACCUGCCCUUGACUCUGGGAUAAGCCUGGGAAACUGGGUCUAAUACCGGAUAUGACCUUCCAUCGCAUGGUGGUUGGUGGAAAGCUUUUGUGGUUUUGGAUGGACUCGCGGCCUAUCAGCUUGUUGGUGGGGUAAUGGCCUACCAAGGCGACGACGGGUAGCCGGCCUGAGAGGGUGACCGGCCACACUGGGACUGAGACACGGCCCAGACUCCUACGGGAGGCAGCAGUGGGGAAUAUUGCACAAUGGGCGCAAGCCUGAUGCAGCGACGCCGCGUGAGGGAUGACGGCCUUCGGGUUGUAAACCUCUUUCAGUAGGGAAGAAGCGAGAGUGACGGUACCUGCAGA
rnacentral:rRNA from 1 species